rnacentral:snRNA from 1 species
GUGCUCGCUUCAGCAGCACAUAUACUAAAAUUGGAAUGAUACAGAGAAGAUUAGCAUGGCCCCUUGGGGAAGAAAAAAAAAAAAGAUAAAAUUCUUUUUUUUUU